CUGAGUGCCUUCUGGCCGCUGGGCAGGGUGAAGGAUGAGGGCGGGAUUGGGCGUCAGUACUAGGAAGCACUAUCAGGACCGAGGGGCUUCAGAGUCAAGUUGAGGGAGAUAGUCAUGUCCAUGUCUCCGAAUCACGCAAGAAAAAGCAAUAGCAGAUAAUCAAGAUGCAAUCCAAGGCUGGAGCCUUCCAAGCAGGAGCAAAGGCGCCCCGAUCGUAGGGGCCAAACCAACACCACCGAGAAGCAACUCUCGAGCUGGACAAUGCAGAGUGCAUUAGCAGGGAGCUGGAUUGGAAGCUAAGCAGCCAGGACUGGAAGCGUUGUUCACGGGAUGCUGACAUCACAGGCAGCGGCUUACUGAACCAGCUAUGCCCCAGUACCACUUGCUGCGUCUUUUCAAUCCCCUCUGCUGUUCACACUUCUCUGAUCUGGGCCAAGAAGAAGCGCAACUUGUCAACAUCCUCUGAGGCCAGAGAUCAUCUUGGGCCAAGGACAUGUUGGUCCCCAUAUGGAGAUCACCAAGGGAGACACAGAGAGAAGAAUUUUCCCUUCAAUCAUGCCGCCGGUUUGAUGGGGAGCCUACUUUAUGGAAAGUCCAUCUCUCCAACUUUAGUCUAAUCUAGGAGUGUUUUUAAAAUAUUUUGCCUGCCAUCAACAUCAACAUCAAAAUGCCUCUCUUGAUUGCAGACCUCUCAGAGGUGAGCCUGAGCUCCUUUGUGGUUGAGCAGGUGGCCCACAGCAGGUGGCUGGCUGUUUCCAGCUACAAUUCUCUAGCAUCCUUCACGGAUCCUCUGUAAGUUCCUGGUCCUUUCUGGGAGAUGGCUUUUCCCGGCUUCCCAAGGAAGAAGCUGGGUGACCUCCGCCUGGACCCCUAUGACAAGGGGUGAUGUUCUGUGAUGCUUCGGUGACAGUAGCUCAACUGGUUUCACCUAGCUCACACUUAGAGUGUGGUGAAGACUGGCUGGGGCCCAAGCAACCUGGGAAGUUGGUGGCCCUGCAAGAGACACCAUUUUGACUGAGGAGCGAGAGUCCUUUAGGAACAGUUGAUCCAAAGCAGGCAGGGAUGCACACAGCCCCUGAAGGCACCAGGCGGAUCUUGCCAAACCACAUCACAGUACCCGCCCUCUUCAGCGCCAGGAGCCUUUUGUCAACAAACGUAAGGAAGAGCUUCUGACAAUGACAGCCAGUUCUCCUGGACUCAAGUUUCCAUCGUCACAGUGAUUUCUAUUCUCAUUAUUUAAUUUCCUUCUCAUCAGACAGAAUAAAAUACUUAAUACCACUCCCAGCUCUGCCAAAGUCCAAUGGCCCCAGUGCUUUGUUUCUGACUUAUAUAAAAGUUCAAGUUUCCUCUUCCCUCGCUCAAAUUUCUGCCAAAACAGUCAUCAGCAAUGAAAUUUGUGAAGAUAAUUAGCAUAUCAGAUAUCUCUAAUAAGCUAAUCAUAUCUUGCUUGGAUUAUGCUUCUCUGGUUUGCUGCUAUUAAUCACAAAUAUUGUUCAUGUCAUGUGAAAUAUUCUUGUGGGCAGAUCUUUUAUGCUUGAAGGGUUCUAGUUAGAAGUCUUCAGCUAUGGAUGUGGGUCCCCUCUAACACACACGCCAGUGUACCCACAAGAGGCAACAAGACACCAUUUUGUUGAACAGGGUUAACCUUCAGGGAGAACAGAAUUAAGGGAAAUAAUUAUCCAUUCACACUGAGCUGGCUACGAAGAAAUUGAGAUGAUCACCUUCUCAGAACUCACAGGAAAAACAUAAUGUAGUUAAUAUUAAAUAAAGGGAUUGGGCAACCUUGCCUCUUUUUA